CCUACGGGUGGCAGCAGUGAGGAAUAUUGGUCAAUGGGAGAGAUCCUGAACCAGCCAAGCCGCGUGAGGGAAGACGGCCCUAUGGGUUGUAAACUUCUUUUGUCGGAGAACAAACCCCGGGACGUGUCCCGGACUGCGUGUAUCCGACGAAAAAGCCUCGGCUAACUCCGUGCCAGCAGCCGCGGUAAUACGGAGGAUUCGAGAGUUAUCCGGAUUUAUUGGGUUUAAAGGGUGCGGAGGCGGUCCGUUAAGUUAGCGGUAAAAUCUCGGGGUUAAACCCCGUCGAGCCGUUGAAACUGGCAGACUUGAGUGGGCGAGAAGUACGCGGAAUGAGCGGUGUAGCGGUGAAAUGCAUAGAUAUCGCGCAGAACACCGAUUGCGAAGGCAGCGUACCGGCGCCAGACUGACGCUGAGGCACGAAAGCGUGGGGAGCGAACAGGAUUAGAUACCCGGGUAGUC
rnacentral:rRNA from 1 species